rnacentral:rRNA from 1 species
UGACCGCUGGCGGCGUGCCUAAUACAUGCACGUCGAGCGAACAGAUGAGGAGCUUGCUCCUCUGACGUUAGCGGCGGACGGGUGAGUAACACGUGGAUAACCUACCUAUAAGACUGGGAUAACUUCGGGAAACCGGAGCUAAUACCGGAUAAUAUAUUGAACCGCAUGGUUCAAUAGUGAAAGACGGUUUUGCUGUCACUUAUAGAUGGAUCCGCGCCGCAUUAGCUAGUUGGUAAGGUAACGGCUUACCAAGGCAACGAUGCGUAGCCGACCUGAGAGGGUGAUCGGCCACACUGGAACUGAGACACGGUCCAGACUCCUACGGGAGGCAGCAGUAGGGAAUCUUCCGCAAAGGGCGAAAGCUUGACGGAGCAACGCCGCGUGAGUGAUGAAGGUCUUCGGAUCGUAAAACUCUGUUAUUAGGGAAGAACAAAUGUGUAAGUAACUAUGCACGUCUUGACGGUACCUAAUCAGAAAGCCACGGCUAACUACGUG